rnacentral:rRNA from 1 species
UACGAAGGGGGCUAGCGUUGCUCGGAAUCACUGGGCGUAAAGCGCACGUAGGCGGAUUGCUAAGUCAGGGGUGAAAUCCUGGAGCUCAACUCCAGAACUGCCUUUGAUACUGGCGAUCUCGAGUCCGGGAGAGGUGAGUGGAACUGCGAGUGUAGAGGUGAAAUUCGUAGAUAUUCGCAAGAACACCAGUGACGAAGGCGGCUCACUGGCCCGGUACUGACGCUGAGGUGCGAAAGCGUGGGGAGCAAACAGG